rnacentral:rRNA from 1 species
AGUCGAACGGUAGUAAGUUGCUUGCACCUUAUGAGAGUGGCGAACGGGUGAGUAACACGUAGUGUGAUCUACCGCAAAGUUGGGGAUAGCCUGUGGGAACACAGGGUAAUACCGGAUAAUUCUUAUUGUUGACGGACGAUAAGGGAAAGGGGCCACGGCCCUGCUUUUCGAAGAGCCUGCGUUCCAUUAGUUAGUUGGCAGGGUAACGGCCUACCAAGGCGACGAUGGAUAGCCGGUCUGAGAGGGUGACCGGACACACUGAGACUGAGACACGGCCCAGACGCCUACGAGACGCAGCAGCUAAGAAUCUUCCGCAAUGCGCGAAAGCCUGACGGAGCGACGCCGUGUGGACAAAGAAGGCCGGAAGGUUGUAACGUCCUUUUCUCGAUGAAGAAUAAGGCAGCGAGGGACAUGCGCUGUCGAUGACGUUAGGUUGAGGAAUAAGCCCCGUGCUAAUUACGUGCCAGCAGCCGCGGGUAACACGUAAGGCGCGAGCGUAGUUCGGAGAUUAUUGGGCGUAAAGGGCGCUUAGGCGGCUUGGCAAGCCUGGUGUGCAAAGGCCACAGUUUAACUGUGGGAGUGCGCUGGGAACUGCCUAGCUAGAGUUUCGGAGGGCAAGCUGGAAUUCCUGACGUAGGGGUGACAUCUGAUAGAUAUCAGGAAAGCAACAUCUGUGGCGACGGCGAGCUUCUGGCCGGAAACUGACGCUUGAGGCGCGAAAGCGUGGGGAGCGAACAGGAUUAGAAUACCCUGGAAGUCCACGCAGUAAACGAUGUGCACUAGGUGUUGACUGUGAUAACGGUCAGCGCCGAAGCAGACGCGAUAAGUGCACCGCCUGGGGAGUAUGCUCGCAAGGGUGAAACUCAAAGGAAUUGACGGGGCACAGCACAAGCGGUGGAGCAUGUGGUUUAAAUUCGAUGAUACGCGAGGAACCUUACCAGGGUUUGACAUAUGGCGGACUGCGGCAGAGACGUCGCGUCCCUUCGGGGCCGUCAUACAGGUGCUGCAUGGCUGUCGUCAGCUCGUGCUGUGAGCUGUUGGAUUAAGUCCCGCAACGAGCGCAACCCCUGCUGUCUGUUACCAGCACGUAAUGGUGGGG